rnacentral:rRNA from 1 species
GCGUGAGUGAUGAAGGCCUUAGGGUCGUAAAGCUCUUUCGCUGGGGAAGAUAAUGACUGUACCCAGUAAAGAAACCCCGGCUAACUCCGUGCCAGCAGCCGCGGUAAUACGGAGGGGGUUAGCGUUGUUCGGAAUUACUGGGCGUAAAGCGCGCGUAGGCGGAUCAGAAAGUUGGGGGUGAAAUCCCGGGGCUCAACCUCGGAACUGCCUCCAAAACUCCUGGUCUUGAGUUCGAGAGAGGUGAGUGGAACUCCGAGUGUAGAGGUGAAAUUCGU